CCAAUGCAUGAAAGGAGAUGUUAGCAUCCCCCUUGGUAAGAAUGGAAGAGGUAUUAGUGACCUGGAUAAACCCAUAUGGUUAAGGCAGUGGUUGUCAACCUGUGGGUCCCCAGAUGUUU
ensembl:snRNA